GGGAUUGUGGCACAUUGGUAGAUCACAUGCUUUGUAUGCAGGGAGUUCCAGGUUCAAACCCUGGCAUUUCCA